GUAUUGUAUGAAAGGAGAAAAGGUUAGCAUUCCCUUGACAAUACCCAGAUGGUUAAGGCAUUGCCACCUACUUCAUGGCAUCUAACUAUCAUU
rnacentral:ncRNA from 1 species